UACAGAGGUCCCAAGCGUUGUUCGGAUUCACUGGGCGUAAAGGGGGCGUAGGCGGUCGGGUAAGUCUGAUGUGAAAUCUCACAGCUUAACUGUGAAACUGCAUUGGAUACUAUCCGGCUCGAGGAAUGGAGGGGAGACUGGAAUACUUGGUGUAGCAGUGAAAUGCGUAGAUAUCAAGUGGAACACCAGUGGCGAAGGCGGCCGGCUGGGGGCGCCCUGACGCUGAGGCGCGAGAGCGUGGGGAGCAAACCGG
rnacentral:rRNA from 1 species